rnacentral:rRNA from 1 species
UACGGGGGGAGCAAGCGUUGUUCGGAUUUACUGGGCGUAAAGGGCGCGUAGGCGGCCACCGCAAGUCGACUGUGAAAUCUCCGGGCUUAACCCGGAACGGUCAGCCGAUACUGCGGGGCUAGAGUGCAGAAGGGGCAACUGGAAUCUCGGUGUAGCGGUGAAAUGCGUAGAUAUCGAGAGGAACACCUGCGGCGAAGGCGGGUUGCUGGGCUGACACUGACGCUGAUGCGCGAAGCUAGGGGAGCGAACGGG